rnacentral:lncRNA from 1 species
CAGAAAACUUUGGAUGGUAUCAAGGUAAAAUUCAUCAAAAGCAUUAUCUUCCUUCCUCUGGGAAUGGCACUUUUCAGAAACGUAGGCCUCCAUUCUUCUAGCAGUGUGACACCAAAGAGGCUGUGGAGCUGUUUGGUACCACCUCUGUGUUUUUGGACUGAGAGAAGUUGAGCAGCUCAGAAGAGAGGUAGGCUCUGUGAGCAUGGCUGGAGGCAAAGGACAUUCCCAACAGUGUUUCAGUGCUAGGACAAAGGAGGGUGAUGCUGUCCAGAUGGGGUGAAGCAUUUCACUCCUUAUCUGUUGAGAUUGCUCUGAGCCACUCUGCUGUCUUCCAGACCACAGAUAUGAAAGCAGGAUUUCAGAGGACCACUCUUCUUGCCAUUUCCCUACAUCCAUGUGAUAACAGCCAGGCUAUAUAGCCAGGUCCAACAUCUGAUGAUGCUCUCAUGUUGUCCAGGUUGGCCUUGAACUUGCUAUGGAGCUGUGGAUAGCCUUGAACACUAGAUCUUCCUGCUUCUAUCUCCUGAGUGGUGGGGUUGCAGAUAUGCAUCACCUUGCAUGAUUUACACUGUGUUGGGGCUAGAACCCCUGGCCUCAUGUGUGUGUCCUAGGUACACUCUGUCAACUGGGUGACAUUUCUAGCUUUGGGCAUGCUUUUUAGAAAAGAUGUAUUUCUGUGUGUCUCUGUGCACAUGAGUGCAGGUACCUGUGAAGGCUGGAAAAGUCCACUGGCUCCUCUGCAGCUAGAACUAGAGGCAGGUGUCAGCUGCCUAAUGUGGGUGUUGGGAAACAGCACCCCAGACCUGUGUGUGUGUAUCAAUAUGUACUCUUAACCACUGAGCCAACUCUCCAGCGCUUUGGGCACAUUUUAAACCAGCUCCACAGGUACCUUCACAUGGCCACAUGGGACUGAGUGAUGCAUAGAAAACAGUGGAUGAGAAAGGAGAAAUUGGUGUUUUCAUUCCCUGGGCAUCCACCAAGUCUGGGAAGUGGGGGAUAUGUUCUGUGAAGCAGUGCAUGAGUCCCCAAGACAGUUGGGGACAACCACUGGCGGUCCAGGAUGAGAAAGUGAGAGAAGGUACCUGUGCUGUUCUUCUUGUUUUCAGUUUUUGCUCCCUGCCCCCUUUUAGAAAAGGUCACCUCCAGGUGGCCUGUAGGCAAGUGUGUGGGGAACAUAUUCUUGAUUUAUGGUUAUGUGAGAGGGCAGUGUCACCUCGUCAGGUGGUCCUGGGUUGUAUAAAAAUACAAGUUGGGCAAGCUGUGUGUAGCAAGCCAGUCGGCAGUGUUCUUCCAUGGUGUCCACCUUAGUUUGUGCCCUGAGAUCCUGCCCUGACUCCUCUUAGUGAUGGACUAUGAUGCAGACACAUAAGCCAAGUAAGUUCUUUCCUCCCCAAGUUUCUUUGGUCAUGGUGUCUAUCACAGUCCUAGAAAGGGAACUAAACAGGACCCAUCCCAGUUGUCAUCCCAUCUGAGAUACUUGAACAACACUAGACACAGUUAAUAGAUAUGAAUAGUUGUCAGAAAGCAGGACGUAUUAGCCAUUGUGGUGCUGUUGUGAGAAAGCAUCUAAGAAAAAUCAGCUUGGAGUUGGAAGCUUCUGGCUCAGUUUCAAGAAGGUUCAUUCAGUAGUUAGUUGGUUGGCCCUGUUGCUUUUGGUCUCAUGAUGAGGCAGACGAUGGAUAGCAUUUGGAGGCAGAUUUCAUGAAGGAUAGCGUGUGGAGGCAGACAAGGUAUGGUGAGCAAAGCUUCUCACCACAUGACAGCUAGGAAACAGAAAGAUGAAGAACCAACCUCUUUCCAUAAGGCCUCACCCCCAGGAGUUCCAUCAUCUAGCAGUACCACAGGCUGGGUAACUAAGUUUUUAUUAAAUAUGAGUACCUCAGAUCCAGUUAGGGGAGGCUGAGCUUGAUGGAGACAGGACAGUCAUCAGGCUGUAAGUCCCCAGGAAGGAUGGUGAAUAUCUUAGUUAAUCUCUGUGACUGUGACAAGAUACCUGACAGAAGCAAUUUAAGGAGGGAAGGGUUUGCUUUGGCUCACAGUUUGAGGGUACACAGUCCUUUGAGCCAGGGAAGGCAGGCAGCAGGAGCAUGAGGCAGCCGGUCACAUUGCGUCCAUAGCCAAGAAGCAGUGAGGGCUAACUGCUGGUGCUCAUCUCGCUUCUCUCUCUCUCUCUCUCUCUCUCUCUCUCUCUCUCUCUCUCUCUGUGUGUGUGUGUGUGUGU